rnacentral:misc_RNA from 1 species
GGAGAAUGUUUCUGUAAAUGGAAAAUGUAGAGAAAAAUCUCAGUGAAAGGGGAAAUCCUGAAAAAGAAUAAAUGGGUAUUGGAUUAAAGAAACACUGAAAGGAGCAUAAAGAGCUGUUAUGCCAAAUCAAGCCAAGAAUCUGAAUAUAUGGCCUAAAAUGAUAAAAAAAUCAAACAAGAAUCUGAAGCCAACCCUAAUAGUAACAGAAAAAGACCUUGCAAA